rnacentral:lncRNA from 1 species
AGUGGGACCGAGCCUCUCUCUCUCUCUCUCUCUCUCUCUCUCUAUCUCUCUCUCUCUCUUUUUUUUCCCCCGGCAGAGAGAGGAAAACACGCGAGUGCACACACGGUGAUAUCUUGCGGGUGAUGAAUAUGAUAAUUGGACAAGGGACGAGAGAACCAUUCUCUGCUUUCAAUAGGACAGAAGAGCUCCUUGGCACUGGAUGCCUCCGGGUCUGGUUGAGAGAGGAAUGGUUAGGAGACUGUUCUGAGGAUACGCAGACAUCAUCCAAAGCUUCCUACAUUCAGAUGAGGACAGAGGUUGGGCCAGAGCUUUGUAAGCUUGUUACCUAAGGAUGGUUCUGACCAUGUAAGCAGAUCACAGAAGCUGGAGGCAAAGGAUGCCAAGAUGGGAAAGCCACAUAAUGGAAGGAUCCUGGAUUUCAGAGCUGUCACUUGGAGGAGGGGCACCCAGUGAAGGUGUCUUAUCUAACCCACACCAUAUCUUCAUGAAGUGGCCAUAUGGAUUUGAUCCCUAUCCUUCAGAGGUGCUCAGCCUAAGGGAACACGGAUAGUAGAUUAAGCACUGACCAGAUAUAUAGAAGCACUUAGGAACUUUGUUCUACUAUUC